GUGUCCCCUUUUCCCCUUCCUCCUCCAGCGGCAGGAUGUGAGCCACCGGCAAGGAGGGAUGCCAAUAAGGUGUCCAAUAAGAUAAGUCUUAUAAGUUUUUGUUUUCAGAAGUUAAGUUUAGGGCAUUGGUGGCACAUGCCUUUAAUCCCAGCACUCGAGUAUGAGACCAGCCUGGACUACAAGAGCUAGUUGCAGGACAGCCUCCAAAGCCACAGAAAAACCCUGUCUCAGAAAGAAGUUAAGUUUAAACAAAGCAGCUAAAAUGUGUACAUGUAGCUACUGUUUAAGGACUAUAAGGUUUCUGCUUCUGGCAGACAUCGGAGUAUCAGUUGCUGACUACAGGCUGUUCUAAGUAGACUGCGAACCCUGGACUUGCUGUGGAUGUGAACCAGUCCAAUUGAUGUGGACAACCCCUGUCUCUGCAACAAAGUCUGCCAACAGCCACUGAUGGGUUUCCCAUUUCCCAAAUUCCUUUUUUUGCUUUUGACUAGCAUUUCAACCUUCUGGGGUCCCUAACUUCAUCCCAAAGUCAGCAGGAAGUAGCAUGAGAAAGAAUUCGCCACCCAUUUUCCCUGGUUAAAAUGCUAAGUCAGAAGGGACUCCCUUGCAUGGGGGCACUGGAGAGACAGCAAUUCCAUGAUUGGAAUUUCAAAAAAAAAAUGGGGGAAUGAAGGGACCAGGCCCCCAUUUUGGCAGCCAUGACAGUAACACGUGCUUGCUAUGACCUUGCCUUAGUCACUAGAGGUUAGGUGCCUGCUUCAUGACAAGGAACCAAUCAGAAGUUAGCUGGUGGCACUAUGCUUUACGACUCUGGGUGUGCUUUAUGGACAAGAGCACAGCAAUGAUGCGCAGAGCAUAGCAACCACCCUGGGAGGGCCUAUGGGCCAUUACAAUCAAUUGGCCAAUCAACACAGGGCAAGCCCUCCAAGCCUGGAGGCACACCAAUCCUGAGCCUGUGCGUACCCCUAGACACUCCCCUUACGCUGCCCUGCAAGAUCACUCCGCAGCCGGUUCAAGGGGUCUUUGCUAGCCAUCCACCAUGGUGGGUGGGUGAAAGACCCAAGCUAACACGGGGUUAGCUUGUUAAAAAAAACAAUAAAGCCUCAUCCAGUUUGCAUCAAGCUCUCAAAUCUGCCUGGUGAUUGGGGUGACCGAGG
ensembl:lncRNA